rnacentral:rRNA from 1 species
AUUCGUCUCGGACCUGGCUGGCGCGCUGCGUACUCGCAGGCAGGGUGCACUUUCCCCGGCUAGCGGAAGGCCACGACCGGUUCGGUGGCGGUCAGGAGCCCGGAGCGGGAGGUAGCCGUGAUCGGUUCACGCCGAUUGCGGAACGUACAGCCCUCCGAGGUGGACUCGCCGCUGGACCGAGGAUGCCGCGGUGGCCUCACGCCGCCUAGCCGUCCGGGAGCGUUCGACUUUGGCCACGCUGCUCGCAGCCGGCCGAGACCGCGCGACUGGUACGGGCUCGCGAAACGGGGGCCGCCUAGGGUCAGUGGCGAAUCGGUCGGCAACCCACCAGACCCGUCUUGAAACACGGACCAAGGAGUCUAGCAUGUGCGCGAGUCACGGGGUCUCUCGAAACCCAAGGGCGCAAUGAAAGUGAAGGCCGCCUCCGGCUGGCCCAGGCAAGAUCCCGAGACGUUCGCGUCGAGGGCGCACUGCCGGCCCGUCUCGCUGGCAUCGACCACGAGGCGGAGCAAGAGCGCACACGCUGGGACCCGAAAGAUGGUGAACUAUGCCUGAGUAGGACGAA